UUUUGGAACCUGACAACCCUGACGUUUUGUCCAGCCUUGUCAUCUGCUAUCCUGUCUAUCAAAACAAUCAGAUUGCUGUUUCCAUAUGGAGCUCAAACAUAUGCUGGAUGUUUGGCUGUAUAAUUUCUUUCUGACCUAAUGGCACUUGCUUUUACUCAGUAUUUAAGCUGAACAAGACAGAGAUGCAGAGUGCUGCCCUGGAGAAGGCCAGGCGGCUGAAUUGCUGGCAGAAACCUGCCCCUGAAACACAAAUCAAAUCCUUCGUUAAGAUCACCCAGAUUAUGGAAAACCAAAGCGGUUAGCAUCCUCAUAAUUUUCUCCACUGCGCCAGCUCAAGGCAGUCAACUCUUGGAUGCUGGCCUUGUUGUUCUCGAGCACCUUUUGUUGGCUGAUUCACUAAGCUUCGUUGAUGGCAGGGAAUGGCUUCCUCAAGUUAAGAUGUCAAAGCCAGGGGCAGCCUGACGUGAAGAGUUUGUAGAAACACUUCCAUCCCCAGGAAUUUUCGUUGGAAUCUUUAGAUUUCUGCUGCAGCCAAAAAGAUUCCAUCAAGUGUCCAAGCUGCUGCUGCUACUCCACAAAAGG